rnacentral:rRNA from 1 species
UGCAAGUCGAGCGGUAGAGAGAAGCUUGCUUCUCUUGAGAGCGGCGGACGGGUGAGUAAUGCCUAGGAAUCUGCCUGGUAGUGGGGGAUAACGUCCGGAAACGGACGCUAAUACCGCAUACGUCCUACGGGAGAAAGCAGGGGACCUUCGGGCCUUGCGCUAUCAGAUGAGCCUAGGUCGGAUUAGCUAGUUGGUGGGGUAAUGGCUCACCAAGGCGACGAUCCGUAACUGGUCUGAGAGGAUGAUCAGUCACACUGGAACUGAGACACGGUCCAGACUCCUACGGGAGGCAGCAGUGGGGAAUAUUGGACAAUGGGCGAAAGCCUGAUCCAGCCAUGCCGCGUGUGUGAAGAAGGUCUUCGGAUUGUAAAGCACUUUAAGUUGGGAGGAAGGGCAGUAAAUUAAUACUUUGCUGUUUUGACGUUACCGACAGAAUAAGCACCGGCUAACUCUGUGCCAGCAGCCGCGGUAAUACAGAGGGUGCAAGCGUUAAUCGGAAUUACUGGGCGUAAAGCGCGCGUAGGUGGUUCGUUAAGUUGGAUGUGAAAUCCCCGGGCUCAACCUGGGAACUGCAUUCAAAACUGACGAGCUAGAGUAUGGUAGAGGGUGGUGGAAUUUCCUGUGUAGCGGUGAAAUGCGUAGAUAUAGGAAGGAACACCAGUGGCGAAGGCGACCACCUGGACUGAUACUGACACUGAGGU